GGCACAAACAGAAACUAGACAUAUAUAAAUUGGUCCAAGAAGUAAAUGAUACUAGUCCAAACAGUACAUAAUAAUAGCUACCAUAGAUAUAUAUACAAGUGUUCGACGUUCAGAACACUACUCGUCUGAAUCAUCUAAAUCAGAAUGUCCACUUUCCUCGAGGUGACGCUGGCCAUAGUGGACGACUCGAAUCUUGCGGU
rnacentral:lncRNA from 1 species